CUGACCGCUGGCGGCGUGCCUAAUACAUGCAAGUCGAGCGAACGGACGAGAAGCUUGCUUCUCUGAUGUUAGCGGCGGACGGGUGAGUAACACGUGGAUAACCUACCUAUAAGACUGGGAUAACUUCGGGAAACCGGAGCUAAUACCGGAUAAUAUUUUGAACCGCAUGGUUCAAAAGUGAAAGACGGUCUUGCUGUCACUUAUAGAUGGAUCCGCGCUGCAUUAGCUAGUUGGUAAGGUAACGGCUUACCAAGGCAACGAUGCAUAGCCGACCUGAGAGGGUGAUCGGCCACACUGGAACUGAGACACGGUCCAGACUCCUACGGGAGGCAGCAGUAGGGAAUCUUCCGCAAUGGGCGAAAGCCUGACGUAGCAACGCCGCGUGAGUGAUGAAGGUCUUCGGAUCGUAAAACUCUGUUAUUAGGGAAGAACAUAUGUGUAAGUAACUGUGCACAUCUUGACGGUACCUAAUCAGAAAGCCACGGCUAACUACGUG
rnacentral:rRNA from 1 species